rnacentral:tRNA from 1 species
CCGUAGGGGAACCUGCGGCUGGAUCACCUCCUUUCUAAGGAUGGUUCUUCAGAAGCUUGCUUCUAUCGAACCGUUUUAGAAACAUCAGUGGCCAACAGAUCGCCAGAUCGUUGAGCUGCAUUGGCGGGAUUUCGCCGUCUUCGUUUCUCUUUCUUCGCGGACGAACACGCGCUGGGCCUGCGUCGAGCAGGAUCCCACGGUCCCUGACGGGAUAUGCGUUAGGGGCUUGUAGCUCAGUUGGUUAGAGCGCGCGCUUGAUAAGCGUGAGGUCGGAAGUUCAAGUCUUCCCAGGCCCACCAGCCUUCGCGCUUCGCUGCUUCGGCUAGGCAAGCCCUUCGAAAGGAAGGCUGUCACGCCGUAGCCUUGGCGAAGGCGGGCUAAUCAAACGAGCAUUCGUCUUCUGGUUACGGGGCCAUAGCUCAGCUGGGAGAGCGCGUGCUUUGCAAGCAUGAGGUCGUCGGUUCGAUCCCGUCUGGCUCCACCACGCUUCGCCUUUCAGGCUUCGCGUGGCGCAGCCAAGCACGGUCGAAGCGUGCCCGGCGAAGCUCACUUGAGCGUAGACGGGCUGGUUGAGAUCAGCCCGUAACCAUCAACGUCCGCGAAACAUCACUUCGCAUCCUGCUAGUCUGGAUAGACAGCAAGAUGCGUGUUUUCUGACAUCGUAAAGAGGAGAUCGAUCCGAGUUGGAUUGUGCAGCAGAUUGUUGCGCGAAUCCUUCAUUAUCUCCGGAUCAUUUUCGGCGCUCGCUUUCAGCCGUGAGGUUGAAUGCAAGUUGUAAAAUGAUCCUUUUAGCGAAGCUUGACCGCCUCGCUAUCGGAACGAUCUUACGAAGCAAGCUGGUCUUUCUAGUCAAUGUCCGGCUGCACGUAGCAUUCAUCGAGGGUGCGCGCCUUAGGGACUUAGGUUUCUUGGCAAUCGUGCAGACAACAUUCUGCCGAGUGUGUGGACAUUGAUAAUGAGAGCAAUCAAGUGCCUUAAGGGUGUCG